CGCCUUUUUGCUAUGCGCGGAACUCAACGAUUCGAACCUGCAGCAGGUUCGGGUCGAACGCAGUGAGACAACGGAGCCGCUUGCGGCGACGACCCGAAGGGCGAGGUGAAGCCGAGUCAUCCUGCACGACCCACCA
rnacentral:sRNA from 1 species